rnacentral:rRNA from 1 species
AGAUUCCCACUGUCCCUAUCUACUAUCUAGCGAAACCACAGCCAAGGGAACGGGCUUGGUAGAAUCAGCGGGGAAAGAAGACCCUGUUGAGCUUGACUCUAGUCCGACUUUGUGAAGACACAUGAAGGGUGUAGCAUAGGUGGGAGCGCAAGCGCAAUUGAAAUACCACUACUUUUAUCGUUUCUUUACUUAUUCAGUCCAGCGGAGAGCGGGGCGCAAGCCCCUCGCUUCUGGAGUUAAGCGGCAACCGGCGCUCGUCGUCGGCCGCGAUCCGCUCUGAAGACAGUGUCAGGCGGGGAGUUUGACUGGGGCGGUACAUCUGUCAAAAGGUAACGCAGGUGUCCUAAGGCGAGCUCAGCGAGGACGGAAACCUCGCGUAGAGCAAAAGGGCAAAAGCUCGCUUGAUUUUGAUUUUCAGUACGAAUACAGACCGUGAAAGCGUGGCCUAUCGAUCCUUUUGACUUUAAGAGUUUUAAGCAAGAGGUGUCAGAAAAGUUACCACAGGGAUAACUGGCUUGUGGCAGCCAAGCGUUCAUAG